AGCGUAGACGGUGUGGCAAGUCUGAUGUGAAAGGCAUGGGCUCAACCUGUGGACUGCAUUGGAAACUGUCAUACUUGAGUGCCGGAGGGGUAAGCGGAAUUCCUAGUGUAACGGUGAAAUGCGUAGAUAUUAGGAGGAACACCAGUGGCGAAGGCGGCUUACUGGACGGUAACUGACGUUGAGGCCCGAAAGCGUGGGAGCAAACA
rnacentral:rRNA from 1 species